CGGACGGGUGAGUAACGCGUGAGGAACCUGCCUUGGAGUGGGGAAUAACAGUUAGAAAUAGCUGCUAAUACCGCAUAAUGCAACUAAGUCGCAUGGCUUUGGUUGCCAAAGAUUUAUCGCUCUAAGAUGGCCUCGCGUCUGAUUAGAUAGUUGGCGGGGUAACGGCCCACCAAGUCGACGAUCAGUAGCCGGCCUGAGAGGGUGAACGGCCACAUUGGGACUGAGACACGGCCCAAACUCCUACGGAAGGCAGCAG
rnacentral:rRNA from 1 species